CAAGGUCCUGAGUUUGAUUCCCUAUACCAAAGAAAAAAAAAAGAAAGAAACAUGAUUCCUUACUUCUGAAUACUAAUCAAGUACUACUUAAUAACAAGAACUUCUCCAAUCAGCCACUGGAAAAGCCUUUGCAAAUGACUUGGGAUCUGCUAAUCACAGAGAAUGCUGUCUUCAAUUCUUGUGGCGCGAGAUCUUCAUGGGAUGGAGCCAAGCCCGUACACCUAAGACCAAUCAGGGGAUGUUGUCUGCUAUUCUUCUGCAACUUCACGAGAUCAAGUGAAAGCCUGCACCUGAUACCAAUCUUCUGGCAUGCGCUCAAGCCACAGCCCUUCAAUUGAUACUAAUCAAGUGAGAGAGUAAGAGAGAGGCCAGGGAUGUAGCUCAGUGGAGCUGCACCUAGCCUGGAGGAAAACUGAAAACUUUCUCUCUAAAAUCAGGAAGAAGAUAAGGAUGCCCACUAUCACCACUCCUAUUAAAUAGAGUAAUCAAAUCUUUAGCCAGGAAAAUAAGGCAAGAGAAAGAAAAGGGAUAUGUAUAGGAAAGCAAGAAGUCAAAUUAUCAUUAUUUGUAGUCUCCUCAUAGAAGACCCGAAAAAACCCAUCAAAAGACUCCUAGAUUUUAGUAGUAUAGCAGAAUACAAAAUCAAUACACAAAAUCAAGCAUCGUGGCACAUGCUUGUAAUCCCAGCAGUAGGGAGGCUGAAGCAGGAGAUCACCAAGAAUUCAAGGGCUGCAUGGGCUACAUAGUAAGUUCAAGGCCAACCUGGGCAACGUAGUGAGGCCCUGUCUCAAAAAACAAAACAAAUCACAAAAAUCAAUAGCAUUCUUAUACACCAAUAAUGUUCUCACCCAGAAAGAAGCUAGGAAAACAAUACCAUCUACAUUAGUGUCAAGGAAAAUUAAAUUAACAUAACAAUGGAAGUAAAACACUUCUACAACACAAAAACAGUAAUCUGAAGAAAGAUUGAAGAGGACAUUAGAAGAUGGAAAGAUACCCCUGUUCCUGGAGAGGCAGAACCAAU
ensembl:lncRNA